UACAGAGCCUCGAGCGUUAGGCGGAAUCACUGGGCUUAAAGCGUGUGUAGGUGGAUGCCUAAGUACCUUGUGAAAUCCCACAGCUUUAACUGUGGAAUUGCUUGGUAUACUGGGGUGUCUUGAGCCACUCAGGGGCUACCGGAACAAAUGGUGGAGCGGUGAAAUGCGUAGAUAUCGCUUGGAACGCCAAAGGUGAAAACAGGUUGCUGGGGAUGUGCUGACACUGAGACGCGAAAGCCAGGGGAGCGAACGGG
rnacentral:rRNA from 1 species